rnacentral:rRNA from 1 species
GACGAACGCUGGCGGCGUGCUUAACACAUGCAAGUCGAACGGAAAGGCCUCUUUCGGGGGGUACUCGAGUGGCGAACGGGUGAGUAACACGUGAGUAACCUGCCCUUGACUUUGGGAUAACUUCAUGAAACUGGGGCUAAUACCGGAUAGGAGCUCCUGCUGCAUGGUGGGGGUUGGAAAGUUUCGGCGGUUGGGGAUGGACUCGCGGCUUAUCAGCUUGUUGGUGGGGUAGUGGCUUACCAAGGCUUUGACGGGUAGCCGGCCUGAGAGGGUGACCGGCCACAUUGGGACUGAGAGACGGCCCAGACUCCUACGGGAGGCAGCAGUGGGGAAUAUUGCACAAUGGGUGGAAGCCUGAUGCAGCAACGCCGUGUGCGGGAUGACGGCCUUCGGGUUGUAAACCGAUUUCGCUCAUGACGAAGCUUUGUGUGACGGUAGUGGGUAAAGAAGCACCGGCUAACUACGUG